CCCUUAGAUGUUCUGGGCCGCACGCGCGCUACACUGAUUCAUGCAACAAGUUUUGUCCUUGGCUGAUAGGCCUGGGUAAUCUUUGAACGUGAAUCGUGAUGGGGAUAGAUGAUUGCAAUUAUUCAUCUUCAGCGAGGAAUUCCUAGUAAACGCAAGUCAUCAGCUUGCAUUGAUUACGUCCCUGCCCUUUGUACACACCGCCCGUCGCACCUACCGAUUGAAUGGUCCGGUGAAAUCUUCGGAUCUGAGAGAUGUCUGAUUAAUUUCGGACGCCUUUUGGAAAAGUUGCUUAAACCUUACCAUUUAGAGGAAGGUGAAGUCGUAACA
rnacentral:rRNA from 1 species